AUUCAGCUGACGAGUCCCGAAUAGGACGAAACGCCCGUCAAACUGGAU
rnacentral:hammerhead_ribozyme from 1 species